rnacentral:rRNA from 1 species
AUACGUAGGUGGCAAGCGUUGUCCGGAUUUAUUGGGCGUAAAGCGAGCGCAGGCGGAAGAAUAAGUCUGAUGUGAAAGCCCUCGGCUUAACCGAGGAAUUGCAUCGGAAACUGUUUUUCUUGAGUGCAGAAGAGGAGAGUGGAACUCCAUGUGUAGCGGUGGAAUGCGUAGAUAUAUGGAAGAACACCAGUGGCGAAGGCGGCUCUCUGGUCUGCAACUGACGCUGAGGCUCGAAAGCAUGGGUAGCGAACAGGAUUAGAUACCCUGGUAGUCCAUGCCGUAAACGAUGAGUGCUAAGUGUUGGGAGGUUUCCGCCUCUCAGUGCUGCAGCUAACGCAUUAAGCACUCCGCCUGGGGAGUACGACCGCAAGGUUGAA